rnacentral:tRNA from 1 species
UCCUCGGUAGCUCAGUGGUAGAGCAAACGCCUGUUAAGCGUUAGGUCGUUGGUUCGAAUCCAACCUGGGGAGCCA